AUGAUUAACUGUCUGUCGAGCUUGCUCACAGACUUAUCAUAUCCAUAACACCUGUGCACUUGUCGGAUGGCUUAGUGAAGACCGCAAGGUUGGAACUAUCCAUCUACUUUACAUAACAAUUUAGUAACAAAUGUAGUCUUAUUAUAACAUAAUA
rnacentral:misc_RNA from 1 species